UCCAGCGUGUUCUGGGUCUUCCCCGGGGCCUCCUACCAGUGGAACAUUCAAAAAAGGCACAAACAAAUGACAAAUGAAUCAAUGACGUGUUUAGAGUCAAAUUAGAGUCCUUUUCGGAUGUUUUUUUGAAUAAUGAUAAUGUAGAUGAUGAUUGUAGAGAUGAAAGAAGGUUGUUCCAAAGAGAUGGUCCUCUGUAUUUCAGUCAAGAUUGACAAAGAGAAGUCCGACAAUAUUAAAGAUAAAGGUCCUUAGAGUCUUGUGGAAUAUGAGUGAGUGCCUUUUGGAAAAUGUUUGGCAAGUCAUGAGUCAGAUGUACAUAUUUAUACGUGAGUACACAGGUCUGGUAGAUGUUACGCUUUGAUUUUACUACCUGUAAAAAUGACCCUCUAUUGUCCUAGUUUCAUUAGUUUGGAUUUUAGUUAUAGUGAAGUCAUGAGCCCAUAUGUCAUGAUUCUAUGCCUCAUUUUGCCACGGCCCUGGCUGUGUCACUAGUUUCCCUGUAUUUUUCCUCAUACUCUGUUCCCCCUCCCCUUGUCUGUCUCGCUGUGGGCGUGGCAACUCCCUCACACUCCUGGGUUUCCGAUUACAUUCACUCAGCUCACCUGCUCCCUGCUGCUCACCUGAGAGCCAUCCAGUUGUCAACCCUGCAGUGUGAAACACCGUCUCUCCUCUCCAGUCCUCGCCAGAUCGUUGAGUCUUCCACUGUGGAUCACUGCCUGCCUGCCCGCCUGUUUGUUCUUCUGCCAUGCUCCCAGCCAGCCAAACCCCUCCAACCUAGUUUGCUUCCCUGCCAUCAACCCACUCUCCUCAGCAUUAAAACCCCUGGAUUUGUCCCUACUGUUACGUUCAUUAUGCCGGCUAUAAAACCCCCUUUUUAACCAC